UUGAAAGGGAAACGAUUGAAGUCAGUCGUACCGGCGGGUAAUCAACCUUUUGGGUGUGAUUAUGUGGAGCGUGAGGAGUUAAUCACCCUCAUCUUUGCAUAUUCGUGCACUUUGGGUGUACUUGCUCGUGUGGUAGGUUAACAUCAAUUUUGAUCGUCAUAAAAUGAUUGGGGGAAUGUAGCUUCGAUCUCGUAUUGAAGUGUUAUAGCCUUCGGUAGAUGUGAUGAUUGGGAUUGAGGAUUGCAACGGAUACCCUUCGGGGCUACCUGUCUGAUCUCUGAAAGUUGCUCUGGUGCUGAAAGCUUGCUUACGGUAUCAAAGUUGACGUUCAACAGGUUAGAACGGGAUAAAUUCGUUAAGGAUGUUGACGUA
rnacentral:rRNA from 1 species